rnacentral:rRNA from 1 species
UACGUAGGUGACAAGCGUUGUCCGGAUUUACUGGGCGUAAAGAGCGCGCAGGCGGUCGUUCAAGUCGAGUGUGAAAGCCCCCGGCUCAACUGGGGGAGGGUCAUUCGAUACUGAUCGACUCGAAGGCAGGAGAGGGAAGUGGAAUUCCCGGUGUAGUGGUGAAAUGCGUAGAUAUCGGGGAGGAACACCAGUGGCGAAAGCGCUCUACUGGGCCAUAACUGGACACUG